rnacentral:rRNA from 1 species
AGCGAACGCUGGCGGCGUGCUUAACACAUGCAAGUCGAACGUGAAAUGGGGCAACCCAAAGUAAAGUGGCGUACGGGUGAAUAACGCGUAGGUAAUCUACCCCAAAAUCUGGAAUAACCGGCCGAAAGGCUGGCUAAUACUAGAUAGAGCGACGGAAUCCGUAAUUGGGUUUUUCGGGAAAGGGAGCUCUCAAGAGCCUUCGUUUUGGGAUGAGCCUGCGUCUCAUUAGCUAGUUGGCGAGGUAACGGCUCACCAAGGCAUUGAUGAGUAGCUGGUCUGAGAGGAUGAUCAGCCACACUGGAACUGAAACACGGUCCAGACACCUACGGGUGGCAG